rnacentral:tRNA from 1 species
UAGAAUAUAGUGUAAGGGUAGCACGGGGAAUUUUGAAUUCUUUAGAUUAGGUUCAAUUCCUAUUUUUCUAG